rnacentral:lncRNA from 1 species
GUUAUGAGUAAUGUGGUCACCAACAGUGGAAAAAGUAUUUUUACCAUUCAGCAUAAUCUAGCUAAGAGAGGUGUAGCACAGGGUGAGGUGGUUACAAAGCAAUGUGGAGCAUGCCCAAUCUGAUUACGACAGCUGGCACUCAUCAGCUUUAUAUUCAGUACUGUUUAGCUAUAAAUAGAGUUGUAAUGUUAGUUUCUUUUCCAAGUUAACAUUCUCUGUUUUGUAACAAACUGUUUCCUGAGAGCUCAAUACAUACAGUUUUCUUUCUGAUUACAUCUGAAUCUAUCAAAGUGACAGUCCUGCUCCCGAUUUAUGCCCGAAAGGAUUUAUCUGCUGGAUUUACCUAAUAGCAUGGUCUAACAUAUGGAGCUCUUCUUUCGAUGGAGUUAACCGCGGUCAUAGAUUUAAACUUUCGUAAAUAACCCGUUAAGGACCAGCGUCACCGGGUCGUAGGCUUAGGGAGUUAGGGUUCAUGUUUACCCUUCUAGAACAAUUAUGAAAGAUGGCGGCGGCGUUUAGCCAUUGUACAGGAGCGAAGGACAGCAACGUGGCUCCUGAUUCUCCUCUUUAUACUCAUUGUUUGACACAACUCCUCAAACCCAUGUAUGUGGUCUUUAGUACUUCUGUUAAUCUGUUUGUGUGUGUGUGUGUGUGUAUAAUAUAUUGUAUCUCCCACUGAUCUUAGUAAAGAGAGUAGUUUAGAGUUGACUUGAAGUUGUCAAGUGAAGUGUUAAUUCUUAGAUGUGUACUAUUUAUCCCGACUUGGCUGAAAGUGACGAUACGUGUUCAAGUGUUGAUGUUCAAUUUUUUGUAUGUUAGGCCUAAAUAAAGGAUGAAGAAAAUUGAUUAAUCCAGGUAAUCGAGCUAUAAUUGAUAUGGUUGAAAGAUGUUUGUGAGAGACUUUAGCCCGUUUGUCAUAGUGCCCCCAAAAUUGAUAUUCUUCAAGGUGUAGUACUUUUGUCGGUGCUUGUGAAUAAUGUAGCCCAACUAAGGUCUAAGCAACGACAAAGGUAUUACACUUGAGGCAUAUCUGUUCGGGAUUGAUUCUGCUUCUUCCGGUGAUCAUCUACAGAAUGGGGCAGGAUACCCUCUCUGAGUAGAGAAUGGAUCAAACAGGGGCCAUAUGUUGCUUUUCCUAAAGGUCUUGUUACUGAAGGCCAUAUUUAUGCUAUCUUACUUGAUUUUGUGCAAUUAAAAACUAUAUUGAUAAUCGCAAUCUUACUUCAAAAUAGACAUGGAAUAAACUCUGUGACCUUGCUCAACACAAACCUUAUGCAGUUUGGGCUCUUUCCGUCUUUCAAAUUGCCUUCUUCCGUGGUUUUACAGGAUGAAACUGAAAUGACAGUCCAUGUCCACUUAAUGACCUCGGGUGACACUUUAGUGUAAAUGCCAUCUUUGCUAAGUACUCUCUUGUGAUCUUUAAGGAUUGUCUACUUCUUAAUAACUCUAUAGCCUAAAAAAUUCACUAUACAGGUAAGAAUAUCAGUCG